AGGGUUUGAUUCUGGCUCAGAACGAACGCUGGCGGCAGGCCUAACACAUGCAAGUCGAGCGCGCCUUCGGGCGAGCGGCGGACGGGUUAGUAACGCGUGGGAACGUGCCCAGAUCUACGGAAUAGCCACUGGAAACGGUGAGUAAUACCGUAUACGCCCUUAGGGGGAAAGAUUUAUCGGAUUUGGAUCGGCCCGCGUUAGAUUAGGUAGUUGGUGGGGUAACGGCCUACCAAGCCUACGAUCUAUAGCUGGUUUUAGAGGAUGAUCAGCAACACUGGGACUGAGACACGGCCCAGACUCCUACGGGAGGCAGCAGUGGGGAAUCUUGGACAAUGGGGGCAACCCUGAUCCAGCCAUGCCGCGUGAGUGAAGAAGGCCUUAGGGUCGUAAAACUCUUUCGCCUGUGAUGAUAAUGACAGUAGCAGGUAAAGAAACCCCGGCUAACUCCGUGCCAGCCGCCGCGGUAAUUC
rnacentral:rRNA from 1 species